CGCCUCUUGAAUAAAAAUAAGAGGUCCAGCCUGCCCAGUGACUAAUAUUCAACGGCCGCGGUAUCCUAACCGUGCGAAGGUAGCGUAAUCACUUGUUCUUUAAAUGGGGACUAGUAUGAAUGGCAUCACGAGGGUUAUACUGUCUCCUUUUUCUAAUCAGUGAAUCUAAUCUCCCCGUGAAGAAACGGGGAUACACCUACAAGACGAGAAGACCCUAUGGAGCUUUAAAUACCUCUUCAAACGUUGGACCUCCUCCCCAGUUUUAAACUCACCUAUAUUAACCCCGUACGCUAUGAAGACAACUUUAGGUUGGGGUGACCGCGGAGUACAACAUAACCUCCACGCUGAAUUCAGACUCUUUAAGCCUGAGCCAAGAGCCACUGCUCAAAGCACUAAGAAAUUAACAUUUAUUGACCCAAAACAUUUGAUCAACGAACCAAGUUACCCUAGGGAUAACAGCGCAAUCCAUUUCAAGAGUCCAUAUCGACAAAUGGGUUUACGACCUCGAUGUUGGAUCAGGGUAUCCCAGUGGUGCAGCCGCUACUAAUGGUUCGUUUGUUCAACGAUUAAAACCC
rnacentral:rRNA from 1 species